rnacentral:rRNA from 1 species
CUACGGGGCGCUGCAGUGGGGAAUUUUGCGCAAUGGGCGAAAGCCUGACGCAGCAAUACCGCGUGAGUGAAGAAGGCCUUUGGGUCGUAAAGCUCUUUUCUGGGGGAAGAUAGUGACGGUACCCCAGGAAUAAGCACCGGCUAACUCCGUGCCAGCAGCCGCGGUAAUACGGAGGGUGCAAGCGUUGGUCGGAUUUACUGGGCGUAAAGGGCACGUAGGCGGCACAGCAAGUUAAGGGUGAAAUCCCGGGGCUCAACUCCGGAACUGCUCUUAAAACUGCUGAGCUAGAGAUGGUCAGAGGCGGGUAGAAUUCCUGGUGUAGAGGUGAAAUUCGUAGAUAUCAGGAGGAAUACCGGUGGCGAAGGCGGCCCGCUGGGGCCAUUCUGACGCUAAGGUGCGAAAGCGUGGGGAGCGAACGGGAUUAGAUACCCGCGUAGUC